GAUGAACGCUGGCGGCGUGCCUAAUACAUGCAAGUCGAACGCUGGAAAUCUAGCUUGCUAGAUUGAAGGAGUGGCGAACGGGUGAGUAAUACAUAAGCAACCUACCCACGAAGACUGGGAUAAUCUCUGGAAACGGGGACUAAUACCGGAUAGGUAAUCGGAAGGCAUCUUCUGAUUAUUAAAGGUUAAAAACACUGGUGGAUGGGCUUAUGGCGUAUUAGUUAGUUGGUGAGGUAACGGCCCACCAAGACGAUGAUGCGUAGCCGGCCUGAGAGGGUGAACGGCCACAUUGGGACUGAGACACGGCCCAGACUCCUACGGGAGGCAGCAGUAGGGAAUUUUCGGCAAUGGGGGAAACCCUGACCGAGCAACGCCGCGUGAGUGAUGACGGCCUUCGGGUUGUAAAGCUCUGUUGUAAGGGAAGAACGGUAGAUAGAGAAUAUCUAAAUGACGGUACCUUACCAGAAAGCCACGGCUAACUACGUG
rnacentral:rRNA from 1 species